rnacentral:rRNA from 1 species
UACGAAGGGGGCUAGCGUUGCUCGGAAUCACUGGGCGUAAAGCGCACGUAGGCGGCUUUCUAAGUCAGGGGUGAAAUCCUGGAGCUCAACUCCAGAACUGCCUUUGAUACUGGAGAGCUUGAGUCCGGAAGAGGUGAGUGGAACUCCGAGUGUAGAGGUGAAAUUCGUAGAUAUUCGGAAGAACACCAGUGGCGAAGGCGGCUCACUGGUCCGGUACUGACGCUGAGGUGCGAAAGCGUGGGAGCAAACAGG